CGCCGCGGCCGCAGCCCUGGCGGCGCGCCUCGACACGUGGCGCGCGGCCGCCGGAGCGGCGGCUGACCUGCUCGGGGCACAACCCGACCUGCUCACGCUAUAGAUUAGCAGCAGGUCUUCAAGAGUUCCCGCUAUUAAUAUUACCCAUAGAUUAAUGUAUUUGUAUCAAACCCGACUAAUGUCAUGUUGCUAUAAAAAUAAAUAAUAAAUAAAACA